AAAGGAGCAGUUGGUGCGGCCUCCAUUGUUUGUGUUUAAGGUGCCAUGAGGGGUGACAGAGGCGGUGGUCGUGGUGGGAGUUUUGGCUCCAGAGGAGGUCCAGGAGGAGGGUUCAGGCCCUUUGUGCCUCAUAUCCCAUUUGAUCUCUAUUUGUGUGAGAUGGCCUUCCCCCGAGUCAAGCCAGCCCCUGACGAGACUUCCUCCAGUGAGGCCUUGCUGAAGAGGAAUCAGGACCUGGCUCCUAAUUCUGCUGGACAGGCCUCUAUCUUUUCUCUGGUGACAAAAAAUAGACAAUGUGAUUGAUGAUCUGAAUGUAACUCCGGGAACGUUUGAAGUGCAAAUCAAAAGUCUGACAGGUGUGAUCGUGCUAAAAGGGAGCAACCACUACAGGACACAGAGUAGCUGACCUGGUGGUCAUACUAAAGAUUCUGCCAACACCGGAAGCUGUUGCUGCUCUGGGGAACAAAAUUGUGGAAAGCCUAAGAGCACAGAAUCUAAAGUUUUGACCAUGCUGAUCAACGAAACUGGCUUUGAAAUCAGUUCUUCUGAUGCUACGGUGUCAAUUCUUAUUACAACAGUGCCACCUGGUAUCCGAAAACUGGACCCAGAGCUUCAUUUGGAUACCAAGGUGUUGAAGAGGGCCUUAGCCGCUAUCCGACAUGCCUGAUGGUUGGAGGAAAAUGCUUCUCGGUCCACGGUUGAAGUUCUCAUCAGACUGUUGCAGGACUUGAGGAUUCAUUUUCCUGGCUUUGAGCCCCUCAUACCCUGGAUUCUAUAACCUACUUGGUCAUUAUGCUGUGAUGAACAACCCCACCAGACAGUCUUUGGCCCUAAAUGUUGCUUGCAGAUUCUGGCUGCAGGACUAUUCCUGCCAGGUUCAGUGGGUAUCACUGAUCCCUGUGAGAGUGGCAACUUCAGAGUAUACACAGUCAUGACCCUGUAACAGCAGGACAUGGUCUGCUACACAGCUCAGACUUUGGUCCAAAUCAUUUCACAUGGUGGCUGUAGAAAGAUCCUUGGCCAGGAGGGUGAUGCCAGCUAUCUUGCUUCUGAAAUAUCUACCUGGGAUGGAGUGAUAAUGACACCUUCAGAAAAGGUUUAUGAGAAGCCACCAGAGAAGGAAGGAGAGGACGAGGAGGAGGAUACAGAAGAGCCACCUCAGGGAGAGGAAGAGGAAAGCGUGGAAACUCAGGAGUGA